CUAAGGCCCGAGGGCCACAUGCGGCCCAUCCAAGCCAUUUAUCCGGCUCCCGGUGUGGCAGCUCCCUCCUCCUCCUUCACCUGGUGCAUGCCUUUCAAAGCUUUGCUUAUUUAUAAUGGCAUUUUUAUUAUUAUUUAAUUAAUUAUUAAUUAUUAAGGAGUGCUUUGCUAGUGUUUUUGGUGCACAAAAGCAGAAGGGGGUUGGACUAAAUAGCACAAGGGGUCUCUUCCAACUCUCGUUGUUGUUGUUGUUGUUGUUAUUGGCACAAAGACAUAUUAUAACACAGGAAAUGAGAUCUAUAUGCUGGAUUUCGAAUCACAAAAUCACAAGUCGAAUGCUUCCCAGGCGUUUAUUAUUAUUAUUAUUAUUUUCAACAACAUUGAGGCUGAGUGGCCAUCUGUCAGGGGUGCUUUGUUUGUGCUUUUGGUGCACAAAGGCAGAAGAGGUUGAACUAAUUGGCCCAAGGGGUCUCUUCCAACCCCCUUUAUUAUUUUGAUGAUGGUUAUGAUGAUGAUUAACAUUGAGGCUGUAUUUGUUCCCAUUUUGUUUUUCUUCUUCAAAAUAAGAUUUGUGCAGUGUGCAUAUAAAUUUGUUCAUAGUUUGUUUUUUUUUAAAAAAACAAACUAUAGUCCGGCCCCCCAAGGGACGCCCGGAUGUUUUGAUGUUUACCAUCCUUGUGGGAGGCUUCUCUCAUGUCCCCGCAUGGAGCUGGAGCUGAUAGAGAGAGCUCAUCUGCGCUCUCCAUGGGUGGGAUUCGAACCUGGCAGCCUUCAGGUCAGCAACCCAACCUUCAAGUCACUAGGCUUUUAUCCCCUAGGCCACCGGAGGCCCCUGGAAAGCUAGAUAGGUUGAGGGGACAAAAACUGCUGAUUCCCACCAACAGUAAAAAGAAACUGGCGAGCCCAACAGGACAACCAAGGAAGCUGCCACAGAUAUUACCCACCAGCUGCUUUCCAAGAUAUUUGUCACACUCUGCCUAACUACAAGGCUAGUUCUGUCCAGGACAUUAAAUUGUUGCUGGGGAUUUAUAUCCUUGUUCAUGGUAGGCCUGUCCUGUCUCAGCAUCCUGACUCUUGUAUCACAGUUACAAAACUAUGGAAUGGGAUGUUGGGUACAAGAAGACAGGACUACACCAUCAACACAAAGUUGCUUCCAUGCUAUGCAACUCCAUGAUAUCCCUUUGCACCUAUAUUAGCUAUCAAUGAAAAAUGAAAAAUGCAAUCAAUGAAAAAAAAAGUUUCAAUACUCAUUACAAAAUUAGAGGGUGGGGAGGAAAUCAUUUCUAAAGUGUUUCCGAAAUUGGACAGGGUCCGUAUCGUAACUAUAAUGGGUUAACUAUUUUUUUUGUUACGUUUCAUUAAGUAAUUGUGCCACUGUGGAAACUUCAGUGGUUCCUUUCUCCCUCAUUUUUACUGCUAUUGGCAUGAAACUUGUUACAAUUAUAGAACACAUUUACCAUUGUUAGCCCAUCAAGGUUCAGAAUGUUUCACUGAUCCACGGAUUUUUGGAGAAUUUUCAAAGUUUUUACAAACAACAUAAAAAGUACAAGUGCUAUCUCCUUGAAUUUUCUAUACAACACAAGAUAACAGAGAAUCAUUUUCCCCAAGUUUCAGAAAUAUUCAUAAACCUACUAAUUGGGGGAUUUUUUUUAAAUUGUUGACAAAAAUGUAGGAAAAAAGUUGCAACAUCUAUCUCAUUGAAUGCCUUUAACCAAUAAAACUUCAAGUUAGGGAUUUCUUCCCAGCCCAGCACAGAUUUAUUUACUAGUAGUGAAGUAUCAGUCAGUCCUCCUCUUUGCAGAUUUAACAAUUUAUUGGCUGCUGCUAGGAGGGAAUAAUCUCUCCCCUAUUC
ensembl:lncRNA